rnacentral:lncRNA from 1 species
AAACUCAUGGAUGAAUCUUAAUGACAUAUUUAACUAUUUAUAGCUCAAGACAGACAUUAUAUGCUUCUUAAUGUUUGUGAAGAUUAAAAACCAAAUGAAGGCGGAGAGACAACAACAUAGAUAGUGGAACAUGUUGAACUUCAAUUUUCUUACAACCCAUCAGAUUUUUGACAAGUAGAAGUCAAUUAACUUGAAUCAACACCGGAAGCAUGAAGCAUGUCACAAACAUAUAUUUAUAUAUGUAAUUAAAUGAGCUAGAAGAAUAAUCUUGCUUUGCUCGCCUAUAUUGCUAAACACCCAAACAGUUGUAUAAAUCACUACCCAUUUAAAAUUGUGAAGAUCUUUUUAGAGAAUGGUCAUGUUAACUAGUAUAGGAUACUCUAGAAAUUUAGGUCG